GAAAGUAAUUUCUCCCAGAUAACUGUAAAACACUUCUCAUAAUUAUACCAUUAUUCAUCAUUAAGCAGUUUUUUCUUUCCAUUUAUCCGACAAAGUAUAAAAGAUUCAGAGGUGGUUCUGCAUGGUAUUCAGGGUAUCUACGAUGGCUAGAUCACUGUUAUUUACUUUUUUAAUCAUCAGUGUUAUUAGCUAUGUUCUAACACUGGAAUGUCUUCAUUGUACAUCUAAAAAAGAAUGCGAAUCUCCCAAACCGAUAAAGUGCAAAGAAGGUUACAUGUAUUGCGUUUCAAGAAAAACUAAAUAUAGUCAGCCACAAAAAGAUUGCUAUAACAAAGAAGGUGUCUGUGAACAGAAGAAGAGUGAUGGAAGUCCUAAAUUUACGGAAUGUGAAUUAUGCAAAGAAGAUAAAUGUAAUAAAAUGAAAUUCAAGGAAUAAUGAAAAAUGUACUGAUGAAAUAAAACGGCAAAUUUA